rnacentral:rRNA from 1 species
GAUGAACGCUGGCGGCGUGCCUAAUACAUGCAAGUCGAGCGAACAGACGAGGAGCUUGCUCCUUCGACGUUAGCGGCGGACGGGUGAGUAACACGUAGGUAACCUACCUAUAAGACUGGGAUAACUUCGGGAAACCGGAGCUAAUACCGGAUAAUAUUUCGAACCGCAUGGUUCGAUAGUGAAAGAUGGCUUUGCUAUCACUUAUAGAUGGACCUGCGCCGUAUUAGCUAGUUGGUAAGGUAACGGCUUACCAAGGCAACGAUACGUAGCCGACCUGAGAGGGUGGUCGGCCACACUGGAACUGAGACACGGUCCAGACUCCUACGGGAAGCAGCAGUAGGGAAUCUUCCGCAAAGGGCGAAAGCCUGACGGAGCAACGCCGCGUGAGUGAUGAAGGUCUUCGGAUCGUAAAACUCUGUUAUUAGGGAAGAACAAACGUGUAAGUAACUGUGCACGUCUUGACGGUACCUAAUCAGAAAGCCACGGCUAACUACGUG